GACGAACGCUGGCGGCGUGCUUAACACAUUCAAGUCGAACGGAAAGGCCCUGCUUUUGUGGGGUGCUCGAGUGGCGAACGGGUGAGUAACACGUGAGUAACCUGCCCUUGACUUUGGGAUAACUUCAGGAAACUGGGGCUAAUACCGGAUAGGAGCUCCUGCUGCAUGGUGGGGGUUGGAAAGUUUCGGCGGUUGGGGAUGGACUCGCGGCUUAUCAGCUUGUUGGUGGGGUAGUGGCUUACCAAGGCUUUGACGGGUAGCCGGCCUGAGAGGGUGACCGGCCACAUUGGGACUGAGAUACGGCCCAGACUCCUACGGGAGGCAGCAGUGGGGAAUAUUGCACAAUGGGCGGAAGCCUGAUGCAGCCACGCCGCGUGCGGGAUGACGGCCUUCGGGUUGUAAACCGCUUUCGCCUGUGACGAAGCGUGAGUGACGGUAAUGGGUAAAGAAGCACCGGCUAACUACGUG
rnacentral:rRNA from 1 species